UGGCCUCCCUUCCCAACACUGAAUACCAUCUGGGGCUCGGUCCCCUAGUCUGGGGCAGGGACUUGUUUCUCCCAUGGCCCUGCUGGGCCAGGCACAGAGCAGAUGCUCUGCUGGGUGGAGCUGUGCUCGUCUGCCCCAGGGACCCGCUAUACUGCCUGCCCCUACUAAACUGGGGCACCUUCUCCUUUGUAAUAUCUGUGGGCUCUUUUCCUCCCACCCUGGUGAAAAUAGAGGGCCAUGCGUGGUCAUCUGCAUGGCCAAUGCCAGGCCAGCUUCCCACAAAAUGCCCCAUGCCCCUCUCACUCUGACUACUCCCUGCAGACUGGCAAGGGAGCAGCCCCCUGCUGCCCAGUCUAGAUGACCUAAUCAUGGCUCCCAUCACAUCCUAGGGGCCAGAAGUACUUGUCCAUCCAGGCGCCAGGGAUAUCCUGUUCCCUUGCAGGGGGCCCAUCAAGCUCAGAAGGCGAAGGCUUUUAGGAUCAGGAAAACUGUCCCUCAGCCUCACCCAUUUGUUCCUUGAACCAUUUUCUAAUCCAGGGGCAAAUGUCAGGGGUAGUAAAGGGACAGUUGGGGUCUCUGGUCCAGAGAGAGAUAGCACAGCUGGGGGAGCAGAUGGGACACCAAGGGUAGGGGAGGUACUGUCUGAAGCAGUAGGGACCUCCGCCCCUGGGGUCUUUCCGCAACCUGGUGAGGAGGGAGCACCUUAGACUGGAGCCAGGAGCACCAGUUCUGCCCCUACUGCUCAGUGACCUUGUGAGCCACUUCCUGCUCCAGACCUUGGUCUCCUCCAGGUGUUCUGGGGAUCUCCAAGCUCCUUUCUGGCUCAGCCUCUGGAAUCCGUCGUUCAUUCACUCCACAGUUACAUAAUAAAAAAUAACAGGUGUCAGUUGCCACCAAGGAUACCCAGUUUGGGGUGGGUGACAGUGUGGAGCAGGUGGCAGGCGAGAGAGCUAGCUGCUGUGAGCGAGGUUGGGACCCUGGGCAGGAUGGGAUCCCAGCAUGACAGGUGGCCUGGGGCAGCUGCUGGUGGGCCUUGUGCGUCCGGCCAAGUCAGAGGAGGUGCUGAGGCGAGCUGCGCAGGGUCCCAUGUGAGCAGGACGGUGCUCUGCACAGGAAAGGCAGGAGACCGGAGGCAGCCUCUGCUACCGCAAUGAUCCCUCCUACUUCAUCAGCCAGGAGGUGGGAACCUCACGGUCGAGUUGUGCCCACUCAGCACUGUCCUGAGCUUUCGGCUGGGCUGUGUGCUUGCUGGGGAGGAAGCCCCUGGAAGUACAAACUGUUGUGAUUUUGCAAAAUGCUUCUCUCUCUGAUUUUUAUCUUCACUCAUUAGCAUCUCAUUACCACUUCCCUGUGUGCAGUGGUAGGGGUGCUUCCAAUUCCUGAGGUGGGUACGGGUUGACUUGUGACAGUGAAGUCAGCUCUUGGACCCUGAGUUUGCUGGGGCGGGGGCUGGGACUUAGGGUGGAGCUCAGUGGUAGAGCUCUUCAAUCCCUAGCACUGAGGGAAAAAAAAGACUCUGCUUGUGCAGGACUGCAUUGUGCUCACCUAGAGGGAGUGGAAAGGGAAAGAAACAGAGAGGGCUGGGGUAGAUCCACACUGUUCCUCUUGGCAAACUCCUACUGAUCCUUCAGCACCCAGUCCAAAUGCCUCUUCUCUGGGAAACUUCUCCAGUUCUUGGAGAGAAUAUGGCAUUUCCUCAUACAACCUUCUAACGACAGACUUGUGGCCCAGUAAGUGAUUCCUUUGGAUCAUCUGUCCUCUCUUGCUCCUUGAUACCCUGAGGGCAUUGUCCCAUGUUUUUAGCUCUGGUGACUGGCAUUGAUGCUUGAAGUCUACUCAAGGGCUGGGGAUGUGGCUCAAGCG
rnacentral:lncRNA from 1 species